AACGAACGCUGGCGGCGUGCCUAACACAUGCAAGUCGAGCGCGAAAAGGGCAACCUGAGUAGAGCGGCGCACGGGUGCGUAACACGUGGGUAAUCUGCCCUUGAGUUUGGGAUAACCUUCCGAAAGGUUGGCUAAUACCGGAUAAGCUCACAACAGACUUUGGUCUGAGUGGGAAAAGUAGCCCUCUAUUUAUAAGGUUACACUCGAGGAUGAGCCCGCGGCCCAUCAGCUAGUUGGCGGGGUAACGGCCCACCAAGGCAACGACGGGUAGCUGGUCUGAGAGGACGAUCAGCCACACUGGAACUGAGACACGGUCCAGACUCCUACGGGAGGCAGCAGUGGGGAAUAUUGCUCAAUGGGCGAAAGCCUGAAGCAGCAACGCCGCGUGUGCGAUGAAGG
rnacentral:rRNA from 1 species